GAGAGGAUGAUCAGCCACACUGGAACUGAGACACGGUCCAGACUCCUACGCGAGGCAGCAGUGGGGAAUAUUGCACAAUGGGCGCAAGCCUGAUGCAGCCAUGCCGCGUGUGUGAAGAAGGCCUUCGGGUUGUAAAGCACUUUCAGUCGU
rnacentral:rRNA from 1 species